rnacentral:lncRNA from 1 species
AGAAGUCUGUGGAAGGUGUGGGAUGGGAUGACAGCAUCAGAAAGAAUUGGGCAAAUCUGUCCCAGGACUAGGUCAGAAAAACGCCUCCCUAGGGAAGGUGCCACCCCAAACACGUGUUUCUGAGACCCCUUACCCGAAAUAAGGAGGCUGCCAAGCGAUACUUGAGGUUGGACCAGAUGAUGUUUUCUUGAGAGAAGCAGAAAACGCCAAGUCGGCCUCCACGCAUUGUGGUGUCUAUGGUGACGCCAGAGUCAGCCACCAACUCAGAGCCUUCAUAAAAUCGUACCCUGCGGACAACACGGCCGGAGGGGCCUCCAUGAAAUCCAACCCGGGGUUCCCCAUCCUGCGGUCACAAAAGUCCUGGCAUGUCCUUGGGGACUAUCCUAGGUCAGAAUUGCUCAGGGAAAUGAAGGCUCUGGGAUGCAGAACGGAGAAUGCUUUGCUUCUAGAGCAAGCCUCCCCUCCCCAGACCAGCUCCGUGGCUGGAGAAUGCACAGGAAGCGUGACCAUUCAUGGAGCUGUCCCUGAUUGGAGUGGAGGUAGACAUACAGCAUGGCGCCGUCUGGCCCUGCCAGUCACCUGCCAAAGACGGAAGGUUUCUCCCGGAGGGACUAUGACAGUCCCCACCUCUACACGAUGGCCCACCCCCAACAGGAGCGUCAAGGCAGACAGACUCUGGAAGUUGUAAGGAUGAGGACAGUUAGAGAUGACAGCAGGUACCUUUUCUGUAGAGUGUAAAUGCCAAGAUGGUGCCGCCAGAGAUGAACUAGCCAAGAAUACCUAUUUAUGUUGCAGUAUCGCCAAAGAUAAUAAUCACUAUUGUGGAACAUGAAGGAUAUAUUUUAAGGCUUUCUCCACAUUAGACUUUCUAGGUUCAUUUUCCCACCCUUCUGAAAUCUGACUCGAUUUUCCAGUUGACCACAGUCUGAAGAGAGCCAGUUGGCGUGAGGUUCUGUGACCUACACAGAUGGUGGGAGGAGUCAGACGGGAAAUCUCUUAUGUCGACGUGGUCACCACCACUUGCUUCUUGAGGGAGAAGAAUCGGAAAGACCUGGCAAGACAGACUAGCUAGAAGGGCUUUCUGAUUCCAGAACAAUACUAAGUUUCCUGAAGUAAAGUAUUAAAUAAAUAUAAAUAAAUGGUAAGACGUAUAUAAAUGUGGUAUGAAGAGGAAGAAAAUAAUGGAAUGGAGGGAAAUAGACACAAAUAGAAAUUCUAAGGUAUUUCUAAUCUGGGAUAGAACA